AGGUGCAUCGGCCAUUCACCUUGAGGAUACUAUAGUUUGGCUAUACCAUAACACGGUCUUCUGGCCAUAUGGAGUUUUGAGGUGUAUGUUGGUUGCAGUAUGUUCAUUGUAGGAAUUAGAUUACACUAAGUUGAGAUCUAUCGAUUUCGAUAGAGGAAUAAUCCUAUGUAGAUCAUGAGAUUGAGUCCAUAAGCCCAUGACCAUGGCACUGUGAAAGAU
rnacentral:lncRNA from 1 species